UACGGAGGAUCCAAGCGUUUAUCCGGAAUCAUUGGGUUUAAAGGGUCCGUAGGCGGUUUUGUAAGUCAGUGGUGAAAGCCCAUCGCUCAACGGUGGAACGGCCAUUGAUACUGCAAGACUUGAAUUACUAGGAAGUAACUAGAAUAUGUAGUGUAGCGGUGAAAUGCUUAGAUAUUACAUGGAAUACCAAUUGCGAAGGCAGGUUACUACUAGUGGAUUGACGCUGAUGGACGAAAGCGUGGGGAGCGAACAGG
rnacentral:rRNA from 1 species